AGAGGCCAGCAAAGCUGUGCUGAGACAGCCUGCGAGAGGCUCUGGUUCUGAAGCGCUCUUGAAAAUGACUUUUGUGACAGUCGCAGGGUGAAGAACUUGGACCUGAGCCGACUUAUGCACAAAGAAGAGUUUAUUCCCUGUGAUACAGCUCUGCCAAAGGACAGAUGCAUCCCCCCCCACCCCCCUUCUCUGCAGCCAGGCAUUGCAGCCUUCCUGCUGCUCCGUGCUGGCUGGCAGCUGGGCUGUGGGCUGCUGGUGUGGCUAAGCUGGGCUGGCAGUGAGCUUGCAGCUCAGGCUGCAGCCAGACUGAGUGCCACGCAUGUCAUACCCAGCAGCCUUUCUCCAUGCCACGAGAUCCCAGAGGCAUCCAUCCAUCCAUCCAUCCAUCCUCUGGAGUUAGGCCACCAGGUUCCCCAGCUAACCGUUCUCUGUUUCUGUCAGGACAGUAGUGAGGCAGCAGACGGAGCUGGCCCCUGGGAUGAAGAAGUUACCAAGUGGUGGGGAGAGUGGAGCUCGUGGUCCACCUGCUCGCGAUCCUGCGGCGGAGGCGUGAUGUCCCGGGAGCGGCACUGCCUGCGGCAGCGGCUCCAGAUGCCCCAGGGAACAAACAGCACCAUGUGUGUUGGCCAAGCCAAGCACUACCAACUGUGCCAGCAGCAGCCCUGCCCAGCCAACACAGCAAGCUUCAAACAACAGCAGUGCUCCAGUUUCAAUGCCAAAGCCUUUGGAAAGCGGUACUACCACUGGAUGCCCCUCUAUCCAGAUGACUACACCAGCAUCUCCAACAAGCCGUGUGACCUCCAGUGCACCACGCGGAAUGGAGAGAGGCAGCUGAUGGCCCGAGCCCAGGAUGGUACCUCCUGCAAGGACAGGACCUACCAAGGGGUCUGCAUCAAUGGGAAGUGCGAGCCAGUGGGGUGUGAUGGGAGCCUGUAUUCGGCCCGGACGAUGGACAGAUGCAGGGUGUGUGGAGGGGACGGCAGCACUUGUCACCGUGUCUCAGGCAGCUUCCGAAAGGCAAUCUCACAGAUAGGUUACGUGUUCAUCACCAGCAUCCCUGCCGGUGCCACGGACAUCCUCAUCAUGGAGCGCAGGAAGACAGAAAACAUCCUGGCGCUCGCUGAUGAAUAUGGGCAUUUCUUCUUCAACGGCAACUCUGCCAUUGACAACCCCCAGAACUUCAGGGUAGCUGGCACGAUCUUCAAGUACAGGCGGCCUUCGAGUCUGAAUUCAGAUGGGCUGGAGUAUAUCAUAGCUCACGGCCCCACUAACCAGUCUCUGAAUGCCAUGUACUAUAACUUUAAUGGGAAAAUGCCACAUAUAACUUAUGACUACACUGUACCACGGACACCACCACCUCUCCGAACUGCAGCCCCUGCUGUAGACAGACCUCGUUAUCAUCACCCAGUAGAGACCAGCCAGAGCCGUCCUGUUCCAGCCAACUUCAGAGCUGCCAAGGACUCCAAUGUCACACGGCUUUCCCUGUCACCAGAUGACACCAGCAAACAGCUUCCUCUAAAAGACAGGCAUGAAGAUUUAGGCUUCAGCCAUCCACACUUCUUCCACACCAACUCCACUAAUCACCCUCGGGGCUGGGGAUGGGAACAAGGUGAAGAAAAGGAGAAGUAUGAGUUCCACAUAAGACAGGUCUACCAUGCAAACACAGCAGGGGAGGAAGAACGAGAGGAAGCAGCAGCAAUUGGUGGAGAAACAGAAUUGGCCCUCAAAUUCAACCAGAUUUCCAUCAGCACAGCUGUACCCUACAGCAUGAGGAGGUCUGAGCUAUCAGAGAACAGCCGCGUCGCAUCCUCCAGGCUUCGGCUCUUCAGGAGGUUGUGCCACCAGGACCAGCACCACGCUGCCUUCUGCAGGGAGCUGCAGUACCUGGCUGCCAGGCUGGCCCAGAGGAACACCACAGUAGGACUAUGGGCUGAAACAGCUGCCCGGUGGCCACAGGGCCUCCACAAAGCACCGUCCCAUAAGAACUCACUGCAGGACUUGAAGGUGGAGAUGUUUGCUGGGAGACAGGGGAAAGCGAGCAACUACAGUGUGAUGGCAUCUGUGGAGAGCUCUCUGCUGGGUGCCAGCACAACGGAGGACAUCAGCCAGGCAGAGCCUCUGCGGGCCCCCGGCACUGAAAGCAAUGAGUUUGAUGUGAGCCCUGUGGGCCACGAUGACAUCAGCUUGGCUGACAUGUAUCGGUGGAAGGUCUCGGCUUAUGCCCCCUGCAGCUCCACCUGCACUUCAGCAGGUAUCAGUGCCUCCUAUGCAAUGUGUGUACGGUACGACGGAGUGGAAGUGGACGAAGCGUACUGCGAUGCCCUGACCCGACCAGAACCUACACAUGAAUUUUGUACAGGCAGAGACUGCCAGCCUCGGUGGGAAACGAGCCGGUGGAGUGAGUGCUCCAGGACCUGUGGCGAGGGCUACCAGUACCGCACCGUGCGCUGCUGGAAGAUGCUGGCUCCAGGCUUCGACAGCUCUGUUUACGAUGACCUCUGCGAGACAGCUGGGCUGGCCAGGCCCAUAGAAAGGAAAGCCUGCAAGAACAAGGCCUGCGGACCCCAGUGGGAGCUCUCAGGGUGGUCUGAGUGCUCAGCCCGAUGCGGCAGCCAGGGCACGAUGAAGAGGGCGGUGCGCUGCUCGGUGGAAGCAGCCCUCUGCGAUGAGUCCCAGAAGCCCAGCAGUGAGAAGGAGUGCACAGGGCCGCCCUGCGACCGCCGCUGGACCGCUUCCGACUGGGGCCCGUGCUCAGGUUCGUGUGGUGAGGGACGCAUAAACCGUUUCGUCGCCUGUCGCAACCUGGAGGGCAAGGUGAUCUCUGACACACAGUGUGACCCAGCUGCCAAGCCCCUGGCUGUCCAUCCGUGUGGAGACAAGGACUGCCCUGCACACUGGGUGGAGCAGGAGUGGGACCAGGUAAAGCCAAGCCCAGCCUUCCGUCCUCAGCCCUGUCCCACAGGAGGUGAUGGGCACUUGGCUCCCUUGGUGGAGCAAAGUUGUACAGUGUGACCACCAGCUGCAUCGUUGCUCCUUCCAAAAAGAGGGAAGAGGAAAAUACCCCAGCUUGUCCCCACCACACCCCAGUCUGUGGCACUUGUGGCCCUCCAAGCUCUCUGAGGUCCAGAGGUCUCUGGGAAGGCAGCAGUGUCUUAAGGAAGUCCUCCUCCUCUCCCACUUCUGGCUCCCAGCUGGCAGUUGUAGGCACCUCAGCAGAGCCCCAUCCAGAAUCUGCACUUACACCCCCAAGAUUUUGGUCUCGCUGCUAAAGAGAAAGCCCUACAAAAACCAACUGCAUCUCCAGUUAAUAAGAGCCAGAGGUAAGGCCUCAGCCCAGGCCCCUGUCCUGGGAGUCACUUCCAGCCCAAGAGCAUUUACUUGCCCCAGGUGCAAUGAACAUGGCCCAGGGGCCCUGUUCUAUUAAGCCAGCAAUUGCUGCCAGCCUGCUUGCCCUCUGUUGCUAGAGAGGCUAUUAUGAGCUUCCAUUACAAGCUGGUCCAAAUCCCAGAGCACCCAGAGAGAACAUCAUGACACACCUGUGGGGUUUGGGCUUUGCCUUGUAAAGUCCUGAGAAAAACAGGCAUUCACGGAGCACAAAGGAGGGCUUCUAAGGAAUCCUUUUUCUAGCCUUCCUAGCUGCUGACUGCGUUCAGUUGGGAGUCCCUCCAGCACAAGUAACGAGCAGAAAUCAUUUACAAUUGGGGACCCACGGCACUCCUGUAGCCCUUUCCUGCUCUGUCCUGUGGUGUAGGUCCCACCCAAUGCUGCAGUGCAGUUUUUGAGCUGUGCCUGAGUGAUUAAACUCACCUGAAAUCUGAAGGGCCAGCUGGGCUCCCCACUUUUGCCUGUGCCAGCUUCUUUGCUGUGCUCUCAGCUGUUCAGCUGCGGGUGAGCUGUUUGCAGGAUGACUCAGGAGGGAUGUGAGCCAGCUGUGCUGGCCCUGGCACUGUGAAGAUGGGCACUGAGCAGUGAAGUCUUGCACUGUGUGAUGCCAGCUGCGGACGAGGGACAAAGAGCCGGGUUGUCCUGUGUGCAGGGCUGGAGAAUGGGGUGUACAGGGAGUACCCUGAG